rnacentral:rRNA from 1 species
UGAGGAAUAUUGGUCAAUGGGCGCUAGCCUGAACCAGCCAAGUAGCGUGAAGGAUGAAGGCUCUAUGGGUCGUAAACUUCUUUUAUAUAAGAAUAAAGUGCAGUAUGUAUACUGUUUUGUAUGUAUUAUAUGAAUAAGGAUCGGCUAACUCCGUGCCAGCAGCCGCGGUAAUACGGAGGAUCCGAGCGUUAUCCGGAUUUAUUGGGUUUAAAGGGAGCGUAGGUGGACUGGUAAGUCAGUUGUGAAAGUUUGCGGCUCAACCGUAAAAUUGCAGUUGAUACUGUCAGUCUUGAGUACAGUAGAGGUGGGCGGAAUUCGUGGUGUAGCGGUGAAAUGCUUAGAUAUCACGAAGAACUCCGAUUGCGAAGGCAGCUCACUGGACUGCAACUGACACUGAUGCUCGAAAGUGUGGGUAUCAAACAGGGAUUAGAUACCCUGGUAGU